UGGAGCUGGCUGAAUGAGGACUGGCUGAGCAGGGAGCUGGCUGGAUCUGGGAAGGAGAGGUUGGAUAAAGACUCCUGUAUAUUAUACUUAUUAGUAGCACUGAAGAUGACAGCUUCAGGCUUUCAUGCAAUAUUCUAUUCUGCUGCCUAUCAGCAAUUCACUCAUAGGAAGUCACUCUGAAUUCCCUAACAACAAACAUGAACUGCAAAACUUUCAGAGUGUGUGUCAGCCUGGACAUUUACUUUCCGAAUGUAGGACUAUACUCUUUACAUAGAGACUAGGAGUACUUUGUGGACACACGAGAUCUUCAAAUGAUAAGAAGAUUCUUUAAGGAAAAGAUGUUCUACACUGAAAAAUUCUGAGAUGCCACCCAGGUAUGAUCACACCAAAACAGUGAAUUACAUGAUGCCAGGAGAGUGGAGGAGAGUUUGAAACACUGACAGCGGACACCAUGCCCAACACAAUACAUGAGAAUGUGAAUGCACAGCUACUGCAAGCUCUCGGAGGCAGAAUUGAGACUCUCUCAUAAAUAAAGAACAGUUAAAGUGGAAAUCAGCAUUUUCAUGAACUGGUGAGUUUCUGAAGAACAAUGAUUCCUUUGAUGUCUACUGAUGUACCUUUGCACGGGUGCUUGACAAACAAGCAUUCAGCUUCCAUUUUUGCCAGUGCUCCAAGUAGAAGCCACCAUGCACAGAUGGAAAAAAAAACACUACAGAAAAGCCUUUGAACUGAGCCCUGAAUUUUCAUUCUGAAUGUUCCUGAGAAACAGGGAGUGGGAAAGAGAGGCAGAAGAGCUGCAAUAAACACAGCAACUUGAGGAUGAGAAGAAGCAGAUAUGAAAAAUGGUUUACUGAUGAAAAGGACAGAAGCAGUCAGGGGGCAGCAAAUGGGGGAAUCUGAGAGGGAGAUGCCCUGCUGAAGGAGUGAACACUAAUUCUUGGGGUCUACGCAGACAGCCGGCACAGCAAACCUUGAGCGAACCAAUGACCACAAGAGCCGUUAAGGUACAAAAACACCAGGCCAGGUUUAUUGUCGACAAAGCACCAGUAAUAGCACGAGGAUACUAAGACAUGUAUGCCUGUGACAAUGGACGCACCUCUGUGAAUGGCAGAACUUUCCAUUGCCCCCUCGGCUGGACCAAGACACUCUUCGAGAUUCCUCUUUAUACCCUGAUACAAACAAAUUAUGUACUGCCCCCGUGAGAUAAAUAGUUACUGCCCCAAUGUGACUAGUUAUCACCCAUCUCCUUGUGCACGUUGGUUCGAUUUAAACAUCUCUACCACUCUGUUAUCCUGACCUUGUCUUUUAGGAGGGGUCAGCAUGUUCCUGUUAUCCUUGGAAAAUAUUUUUGU